rnacentral:rRNA from 1 species
GAUGAACGCUGGCGGCGUGCCUAAUACAUGCAAGUCGAGCGAACAGACGAGGAGCUUGCUCCUCUGACGUUAGCGGCGGACGGGUGAGUAACACGUGGAUAACCUACCUAUAAGACUGGGAUAACUUCGGGAAACCGGAGCUAAUACCGGAUAAUAUAUUGAACCGCAUGGUUCAAUAGUGAAAGACGGUUUUGCUGUCACUUAUAGAUGGAUCCGCGCCGCAUUAGCUAGUUGGUAAGGUAACGGCUUACCAAGGCAACGAUGCGUAGCCGACCUGAGAGGGUGAUCGGCCACACUGGAACUGAGACACGGUCCAGACUCCUACGGGAGGCAGCAGUAGGGAAUCUUCAGCAAUGGGCGAAAGCCUGACGGAGCAACGACGCGUGAGUGAUGAAGGUCUUCGGAUCGUAAAACUCUGUUAUUAGGGAAGAACAAAUGUGUAAGUAACUAUGCACGUCUUGACGGUACCUAAUCAGAAAGCCACGGCUAACUAAGUG